ensembl:lncRNA
GCCUUCUGAAGGUUUCUGCGACCCCGGGGUGCCUGCACGGAGCUUAGGGGACCUCGAUCUGGGCAGGGCGGGCGGCCAGGGUGCAGGUUCCCACCCCGGCUCCACCCGCUGCGCGACAGGCAGGUGGUGGGUGGCGGAGCCGCUGCGGUCAGGUGCUCGCAGGCGCAGGCGCUGCGCGGCGGCCUCCUCGGCUGCCACCCUGCCGCUGUCCAGCUCCAGGCGCUGAGGCGGCCCGGGUGUCAACAGAGCAUCAGGAGGCACUGACCCCAGAGCCCCUCCACGUCCCCGGGAACGGCCGGCCCCCCGUCGCCGCCGAGGGCCCUCGACCAGGAUGGACAGCCAGGGGAAGGCUGCUUGUCUCCACGCCUCUCCGACGGCUCUUCUUCCGGCCCCUCCAGCCCAGGUGGAAUCCUUGAAGCUGGAGUCAGGACUGCCGGGCUUGCGGAGACGUGGGCUCCCCAGGAAGUGCUGAGCCCAUGAUCAGAGCUGCACCCCCACAAGAAGUCACCAUGUGGAUCCCCAGAGGGGAUACUCCGGAAGUGCUUCCAUUCGGCCACCAGCAGCUGUGAUGUCCCCUGACCG